UACGGGGGGGGGCAAGCGUUGUUCGGAAUUACUGGGCGUAAAGGGCUCGUAGGUGGCCAACUAAGUCAGACGUGAAAUCCCUCGGCUUAACCGGGGAACUGCGUCUGAUACUGGAUGGCUUGAGUUUGGGAGAGGGACGCGGAAUUCCAGGUGUAGCGGUGAAAUGCGUAGAUAUCUGGAGGAACACCGGUGGCGAAGGCGGCAUCCUGGACCGACACUGACGCUGAGGAGCGAAAGCCAGGGGAGCAAAACAGG
rnacentral:rRNA from 1 species